rnacentral:rRNA from 1 species
AUACGGAAGGUCCGGGCGUUAUCCGGAUUUAUUGGGUUUAAAGGGAGCGCAGGCGGAGAUGCAAGCGUGACGUCAAAUUUCGGGGCUCAACCCCGUCUCGCGUCGCGAACGGCGUCGCUUGGUUGCGGGAAGGGGAGGCGGAACUCGUGGUGUAGCGGUGAAAUGCAUAGAUAUCACGAAGAACUCCGAUCGCGAAGGCAGCCUUCCGGCCCGUCAACGACGCUCAUGCUCGAAGGUGCGGGUAUCAAACAGGAUUAGAUACCCUGGUAGUCCGCACAGUAAACGAUGGACACCCGCGGUUUGGCCUAUAUGGCUGAGCCGCCAAGCGAAAGCGUUAAGUGUCCCACCUGGGGAGUACGCCGGCAACGGUGAAACUCAAAUGAAUUGACGGGG